rnacentral:rRNA from 1 species
UCAGGAUGAACGCUAGCGGCAGGCUUAACACAUGCAAGUCGAGGGGCAGCGGGGAUGUAGCAAUACAUUGCCGGCGACCGGCGGAUGGGUGCGUAACGCGUAUGCAACCUACCUUAUACAGGGGAAUAACCUUUCGAAAGGGAGACUAACACCCCAUGGUAUUGAUUUAAGGCAUCUUAGAUUAAUUAAAUAUUUAUAGGUAUAAGAUGGGCAUGCGUAUGAUUAGCUAGUUGGUAAGGUAACGGCUUACCAAGGCGACGAUCAUUAGGGGUUCUGAGAGGAAGGUCCCCCACACUGGUACUGAGACACGGACCAGACUCCUACGGGAGGCAGCAGUGAGGAAUAUUGGUCAAUGGGCGCAAGCCUGAACCAGCCAUGCCGCGUGACCAGGAAGACGGCCUUAUGGGUUAGUAAACUGCUUUUACAUAAGACUAACCGUAUAUUUGCGAAUAUACCUGAAUGUAUUAUGAGAAUAAGGAUCGGCUAACUCCGUGCCAGCCGCCGC